UUGAGCCUUUCUUCUCAGAAAUUCAAGCUACUUGGUACAACUUGUUCUACACAGGCCGUGCAUCGUACAAGGCAUUUGUAUGCGAUGGCUGCUAUCAGGAAGAAACUGGUGAUUAUUGGUGAUGGAGCUUGUGGGAAGACAUGCUUGCUCAUAGUCUUCAGCAAGAACCAGUUCCCAGAGGUGUAUGUGCCCAUGGUGUUUGAGAACCAUGUGGCAGAUAUUGAGGUGGAUGGCAAGCAGGUAGAAUUGGCUUUGUGGGACACAGCUGGGCAGGAAGGCUAUGACCGCCUGAGGCCCCUCUCCUACCCAGACACCGAUGUUAUACUGAUGUGUUUCUCCAUCCACAGCCCUGAUAGUUUAGAAAACAUCCCAGAAAAAUGGACCCCAGAAGUCAAGCAUUUCUGCCCCAAUGUGCCCAUCAUCCUGGUUGGGAAUAAGGAGGAUCUUCGGAAUGAUGAGCACACCAGGCUGGAGCUAGCCAAGAUGAAGCAGGAGCCGGUAAAACCUGAAGAAGGGACCAGGACUGGUGCUUUUGGGUACAUGGAGUGUUCAGCAAAGACCAAAGAUGGAGCGAGGGAGGUUUUUGUAAUGGCUACAAGAGCUGCUCUGCAAGCCAGAAGUGGGAAGAAGAAAAUCUGGGUGCCUUGUCUUGUGAAACCUUGCAGCAAGCGCAGCCCUUAAGCGGUUAAUUUUGAAGUGCUG